UAUGGCCACAUCACGUUGAAACACCUGUUCCCAUACAAUCACCGAAGUUAAGCAAAGUAGAGCCUGGUCAGUACCUAGAUGGGUGACUGCUUAGGAAUAACAGGCGCUGUAAG